UUGAUUCUUCCUAUCGUUGUGGCAACUUUGAUGUCGAACUGAUAUUCGGCUUGUGGAUCAAGCAUUUUGAUGGAUCAUUGUGGAUAUUUGAUUGGGUUGUUUCUUCGUAAAUUUGCAGAUCCCGCUCGAGAUCCAGAUCUCCAAAUUCAUCUCCUUCACCUUAUAGAAGUUACAGUCCUCGCCGUAAAAGCUUGUCGCAAUCCCGUUCGUCUUCGGUGAAGUCUGAUCGCAGCAGAUCUGCUGACUCUGGAUAUCGCUAUUGAGAGAUGAGGUCUUUUUGGCUGGAACUGUCUUAGAUAUUUUAUGUGAAGCUUUAGGAUUCGUAU